AAAAUACAAAUAUAAAUAUUAAAUAACAAAUUGCAUUAAUACUAGAAAAUAUUAAUCUACAAUAUAACACAAUAUUACAAACAAACAAAUCAGAAGUAAAAGUUACAGCGUAAGAUAUGAAAUGGAAUACAAGUUUACACUUGGAAAAUUCUUGUUAAGUCUUCGAAACGAUUAAUCUAGACAAAAUACCACAACACAUUUUUUUUGUAUUUAUUGAAACUUGUACUAUUGAGAUGGAUAAAUUUGAAAACCCAUAACUCUGUAUAAAAGAAGUAUGUACUCAUACUCAUGGUCAAACUACUAGAUUUAAUAUUACAUAAAACAUAAUGUUCUUCUAACAAAAACAAAAAACAAUAUUUGUUUUUAUGUUCUGUUCUGUCCUAAAGAGAAA
rnacentral:lncRNA from 1 species